rnacentral:lncRNA from 1 species
AUCAUUUGCAUCGGCAUUUGUUAUUGUCCAACGAUGUCUUAAAAUAAUUUUUCUGAUGUCUUUUUUCAUACUUCUUAUUGGUUGUCUCCGAUGCAUCGAAGGCUGGUUAUUAUGUAAAAUUCAACAACAGCAAAUUUUAUAUAUUAUUACCUAGAACCACAUAUCGUUUUGAUUGAGUUUUGCUUCACUUCUCUCAUCUAGAUAUAGUGGAUCAAUGUGAGAUUUCUUUACAAUCAAUGUAGUACCAAAAGCAUGUUUCUUAUAAUGUUGACCUUUCUUCAUCUCAACAUUGAUCCUCACCUAAUUUCUCAUGGUGAAUUUGCAUAGAUGUCACAAAAUUUAAAUAUGCAUAAAAAGUUGUCACUUUUAUUAUUGUGAAAUGUGCAAAAUCAUCCUUCGAGAUACCAUUUUUGGAUGUAAUGCUCAUAAUGCACGCAUUUAAUGUUAAUUAAUGUCAUAUUUGAUUAUUUGACUUGUGUAAGAAAAAC